rnacentral:tRNA from 1 species
CCUUUGAUAGCUCAGCUGGUAGAGCAGAGGACUGUAGUCUGGUCUCUGUGGGAAUCCUUAGGUCGCUGGUUUAAUUCCAGCUGGAAGGA